AAAAUAUUGGAGAUUUCUCUGCAUCACAGAGAAAAUAUGGAGACAUUAACCGAAGCUUAACUAAGGAACAUUACCGAUUGCAAACUGUUCAGGAGAAAGAUCAUUUUCUUUGUUGAAACGAGUGAAAACAUACCGGAGAGCAACAGUAACAGAAAAAACUGAAUGCCUUUGCCCUGUUGGCAAUUGAGAAUGGAUUUACAACCUCCCUGGAUUUUGAAGACAUUAUCGAGGACUUCGCCUCAUCAAAACUUAGGAGAAAGCAUCUGUAAAGAUCGUGAUGAUGCUGUCAAGACGUGUUUCUGCUGCGAUGGAGGCCUGCGAUGCUGGAAGGCUGAAGAUUAUCCCUGAGUGGAGCAUGCUAAAUGGUUUCCUCAGUGUGAAUAUGGGCUCCAGGAGAAGGGACAAGAAUUUUUGUUUACCCAAUUCAGGCUCGUUUUCCUUGUCUGUCUGAGCAGAGUGCAGUCUAGUAAAGCACACCGUCCAGAGAAACAUCCAGACCAGUGGAGAGAACUGCUGAACAGUCCAGACCAGGAGCUGAGCUGCUGAGUGUUGAAUACCAGAAAAUGGAAGAGAGCCACCACCUCACCACCCAGUUCACUGCCAUGACAAACGGCCUUUUCCCUCUGCUCAUCCCUCCUUAUCCACUAUCUGCCCUGGACCUGACACUUCCCUCAUCAUCUUACCCAGUUGCCUUUUUGGGAAAAAUAAACCCGUCAAACCUGCUCCUGUAUUUUGGUGUGUUGCACCUGGGUCCAGCACCUAAUGACAAUCAUGGACGUAAACAGUUUUUGUCUAUAUGCCUCC